rnacentral:rRNA from 1 species
UGGGUAACCUGCCCGGAAGUGGGGAACACCUCGGGGAAACUCGAGCUAAUACCGCAUGACAUCUUCGGGACGAAAGUCCUGACGAUCAAAGCGGGGCCGCAAGGCCUCGCGCUUCCGGAUGGGCCCGCGCCCGAUUAGCUAGUUGGCGAGGUAACGGCUCACCAAGGCUUCGAUCGGUAACCGGCCUGAGAGGGCGAUCGGUCACACCGGAACUGAGACACGGUCCGGACUCCUACGGGAGGCAG